rnacentral:tRNA from 1 species
GCAUUGGUGGUUCAAUGGCAGAAUUCUCGCCUGCCACGCGGGAGAUCUGGGCUCGAUUCCUCACUGAUGCA